rnacentral:ncRNA from 1 species
AAAAAGUUUUAUUUUAGCUUAAAAUAUUAAUGAAUAAUUUUUUUUACAUGCAAGUUUUAGCGUGAAAUUUAUUAAAUUUUAAAAAUUUAAUAUAUAUAUUAUUUAUUCGCAGUUUUUAAUUUUUUUUAUUUAAGUUAUUAAGAUAAAGAAAAUUAUUUAAAUAUUAACAAAAUUUGUGCCAGCAGUUGCGGUUAUACAAAUAAUAUAAUUAAUAUUUAUUAAUAAAUAAUUAAAUGGUUUUUUUUAAAUUAAAUAUAAUUUUAUUAAGUGAAAUUUUAAAGUUAUAAAUAUUUAAAAUUAAUAUUUUGAGGUUAUUAAAUUUUUAUUUAAACUAGGAUUAGAUACCCUAUUAUUUAAAAUGUAAAUUUUAUUAUUAAAUUAUUAAUAGUUAUAUUCUUAAAAAUUAAAAAAUUUGGCGGUAUUUUAGUCUUUUCAGAGGAACCUGUUCUAUAAUUGAUAAUCCACGAUUAGUGAUACUUUUAUUAAUUAGUUUAUAUAUCGUCGUAGUUUGAAUAUUUUAAAAGAAUUAUAAUAUUCAAAAUUUAUAAUAAUAAAAUAAAUCAGAUCAAGGUAUAGCUUAUAUAAAAGAAGAAAUGGGUUACAAUAAAUUAAUUUUUGGAUUUAAAAUUUAAAUAUUUUAAUAAAAUUGGAUUUGAAAGUAAUAUGAUUUAUUUAAAUUAUAUGAUUUAAGCUCUAAAAUAUGUACAUAUCGCCCGUCGCUCUCAUAUAAAGUGAGAUAAGUCGUAACAAAGUAGAUGUACUGGAAAGUGUAUCUAGAAUGAU